CCAGGUGGCUGUACCACUCUGAACGCACCAAUCUCGUCUGAUCUCGGAAGCUAAGCAGGGUCGGGCUUGGUUAGUACUUGGAUGGGAUUCCGCCUGGGAAUACCGGGUGCUGUAGGCU
rnacentral:rRNA from 1 species